rnacentral:rRNA from 1 species
GGAAACGCCGUCUAAUACCGGAUACGACCCGCCACCUCAUGGUGGAGGGUGGAAAGUUUUUCGGUCAGGGAUGGGCUCGCGGCCUAUCAGCUUGUUGGUGGGGUAACGGCCUACCAAGGCGAUUACGGGUAGCCGGCCUGAGAGGGCGACCGGCCACACUGGGACUGAGACACGGCCCAGACUCCUGCGGGAGGCAGCAGUGGGGAAUAUUGCGCAAUGGGCGAAAGCCUGACGCAGCGACGCCGCGUGGGGGAUGACGGCCUUCGGGUUGUAAACCUCUUUUACCACCAACGCAGGCCCGGAGUUCUCUUCGGGUUGACGGUAGGUGGGGAAUAAGGACCGGCUAACUACGUGCCAGCAGCCGCGGUAAUACGUAGGGUCCGAGCGUUGUCCGGAAUUAUUGGGCGUAAAGAGCUCGUAGGCGGCGUGUCGCGUCUGCUGUGAAAGACCGGGGCUUAACUCCGGUUCUGCAGUGGAUACGGGCAUGCUAGAGGUAGGUAGGGGAGACUGGAAUUCCUGGUGUAGCGGUGAAAUGCGCAGAUAUCAGGAGGAACACCGGUGGCGAAGGCGGGUCUCUGGGCCUUACCUGACGCUGAGGAGCGA